ACGGAAGGCAGCAGUGGGGAAUAUUGCACAAUGGGGGAAACCCUGAUGCAGCGACGCCGCGUGAGUGAUGAAGUAUUUCGGUAUGUAAAGCUCUAUCAGCAGGGAAGAUAAUGACGGUACCUGACUAAGAAGCACCGGCUAAAUACGUGCCAGCAGCCGCGGUAAUACGUAUGGUGCAAGCGUUAUCCGGAUUUACUGGGUGUAAAGGGUGCGUAGGCGGUAUGGCAAGUCAGAAGUGAAAACUGGGGGCUCAACCCCCAGACUGCUUUUGAAACUGUCAAACUAGAGUACAGGAGAGGCAAGCGGAAUUCCUAGUGUAGCGGUGAAAUGCGUAGAUAUUAGGAGGAACACCAGUGGCGAAGGCGGCUUGCUGGACUGUAACUGACGCUGAGGCACGAAAGCGUGGGGAGCAAACAGGAUUAGAUACCCUGGUA
rnacentral:rRNA from 1 species